rnacentral:lncRNA from 1 species
UUUUUUUUUUUUUUUUUUUGGGUUGUAGAUUACAAACAAUGGACGCAAGUCUCCCACAAUGACAAGUGGUAAAACACCUAAGACAUUAGCAAAAGUAAGGGAACGGUUUUUUUGUUUGGUUUGGUUUUUGUUUCUUGGUGAAAGAUAAGCACGGACUUAAUUGCGGCAAUGCCCAAGCCACGUUGCCCAGAAAAAGAGAAAAGGCAAUGCAAGCACUCUCCGGAUGUAAUUUGGUCAGCCGCGGACGUGCGCAGUCAGCACGUCCGCGUCUGACACAUGCUCAGUUUGAAGUCAGCCGCGGACGUGCCCAAUCAACACGUCUGCGCUGACACCUGUUGCUCCCUGAAUUUUUUGCAGACAAGUUUUUGUUGGAAUUUUUAAUUAUGCGGACGUGUCCAGUCAGCACGACCGCUAUAGAAUGAGAAACACUCCCUGUCAGAGGUAUAUUUGGCAGAUUGGUUUUUUUUUAACAUAUAAUCUAAGAAAUUAGCCGAGGGGGGACAUGAGCUAUUCUUCUUCUUCAAACAGAGUCGAAGACUACCUAUAGAUUAUGAUCUUGAAUUCCCUGUUCCUAAAUUUGCAACAUAUUCUGAUUGAAAAUAUGCAAAUUAGAAUGUGUUUGAAAUUCUAUUUGUACUAGGGUAUGGACAAUCCAAAAAUUGACACAUUUUUUCAUUUAAAUCUAGGAAAUGUUAAUUACACUCUACUUUUUGUUAAUCGCGCUCUUAUCAGUUGUACUGCCAUAUAUUCUAAUAUAUGAAAAUUAUAUGAUAAAAAUAAUAGUGCGAGUGCGAUUAACAACCAAAGGGAGGGCAGGCGCGGUGAAAUUAACAUUUCCCUUUAAAUCUUGAAUAAUUUCACCAGCUAAUGUGAUUUCCGAUAGGAUGUUGCAAUUGCAUUACACUUUGGCGUGCACGGUGGUGCGCUAACUUUCUGACUGACUAUUGUUUGCCCCUGAUUUAACAAGUGUUUGUAAUCUCCUCGUUUUGCAAUCAAUUUUCAGGAUGACAGAGACGUUGAAGAUUCUGGAAUUGACAGCUGAAUUGCACGAGAGAAAGGAAAAGAUCCCGCAGCUAUUCAACAACAGCUAGAUACGGUUUUGAAGGACAUGGAAGAGUAUUCAGAACAUCUUUCUGUCCAGAAACAUCGAUGAGGGUCAACUUGCCCCCAGCAGAUGACCAUCAUAUACGUAUUUCCUUUAUCUCGAUGCCUCUCCCCUCUCUUUUAAUUUGCAACAAUUUCCUUAGCGUGGUUGAUUUUUCAAAGUUUUGGGAUCCUUAAUUAGGGGUGGGCACGGGUCGGGUACCCGUCCCUAACAUGAUUUGGUUGACCCGACCCUAAUAUAUCGGAUCAGCCAUCCCUAAAAAAAAUUAUUUUCAAUAAAAAAAAUUAUUUUCUACUUAAUAUCAACAUGUUUUUCAAUAAAAAAACAUGCUUUUCCAAUUAAUAUUGGUAGAGAUAUUGUAAUUAAAGUCCAUACAUCACCAUUUUUACACAUUUCAUCCAAUAAUCAAAUCGAUCUCAUAAAUUUAGUACAUAUUAGAAUAUCUAAUGGACAAAACGAAGUUUCAUAAUAAUUUUGAGUACAUCACUAUUUUCACACAUUUCAUACUUCUACAACACAAUAAACACAAGGAUAAUAAGUAUUUGGUAACUUCCCCAAGGAUAUUAUGGUACAAGACCGCAUCUCAAAUAAGUCAAUUGUGAAAUCAAGUUCGGAAAAGAAUUGAAUAGAACUAAUUAUUUUUGAAAAAAAUAUAACCAAAAUAAUGUUAAAAAUCUUCCCCAACUUCUUUACAUCUUUGGAAUAGACCUUAUGGUAUUAAGGUGAUGAAAAAGAAAAAUAAAUUUCUUACACUAAAUAAAAGAGACAAAUUUAAGAGAUAUAAUUGCAAAUGAAUGACACAAAUAUUUUAAUUAUCUAGCUAACAGAAAUUUGAGACUCCAAACAAAAAUCUUUGAUUGAAUUGAUGCAAGAUUUGCAGGAAAGAUCGAUGGAAGUAGAAUAAAAAUAAAAAAGAUGAAAGGGAUGAACAAUUUUUAUAACAGAGUUUCACAAUUUUUUUUUUCAUUUUGUUCAUGCUUCACCGAGAAUAUUCACUUUCUUCAAAAAAAUGAGAAGAGUAGAUCAUAUAGGAUUAGAAUAUGAGGCUGCGAGCCACUUCACUUGCACUUAGGAUUAAAAAUUACAAAAUUAUAAAAUGAUCCCUACUUUUUUAAUAUUUAUAAAAUAUACCCUGCGGGUCGGGUACCCGCGGGUUUUUAUUUUUCUGAUCCGUAUCCGUACCCGAUUUUUCGGGUACCCGACUCUCAUCUGCCCCGCUAAGAAACAUCGGAUCGGGUAUCCUAUUUUUCGGAUCGUAUCGGAUCGGGUUCAUCGGGUUUUCGGAUCGACGAAUUUUUUUGCCCACCCCUACCCUUUAUCAAGUUGUAGGUUGAUAAAACCGCCAGUUAACCAUCUGAAAUGUUUGUAAUGACAAUCUUAGCAAUAGUUGCUGAUUUGGAACGUGGAUCACUUUCUUCAUGGUGUGUUUAACAGUAACUGCAGUGCGAAUUUGGGUACGGAGAGUUGAGACACCGCCUAGUAGAGGGAAUGAGGAAUGGAUUGGGUGGUAUCGAAUCGGGGCGUAAAUCUCUCAUUUACACUCUCUUUUGAUACCAAAUUCGAGAUCCUCCCGUUUACUUGAAAAAAAAAUGCAAAAGAUUUCAUACCAAAUAUAGUAUACUAGCUCGUAGAUUUCAUUAUCAGUAGCUGACAAGUCAUUACUAAAUGCUAAGGAAUAAAGAUAGGGUUAAUUAAGAAUAAUUUAUCCAUAAAAGUCUUCUAGAAAGCAAUUUUCAUUUAAAGCUCGGUUUAGAAUUGGUGGUUGGUAGGUGUAGGGUUAAUUAAGAAUAAUUUAUCCAUAAAAGUAUUCUAGAAAGCGAUUUUCAUUUAAAAGCUCGGUUUGGAAUUGGUGGUGGGUAGGUUUUAUUCUCGUUUUGCUUUUGAAUUUCACAAAAAGUUGAUUAUGAGAAGUGAUUAUGGAGAACAAUCAGAAUUAACAAAAGUCACUCUUUAAUAGAUUUUGAAUUUUAGCUUUUUGAUUAUUAAAAAAUCUAUAAUUUAAAGACAAAAAAUAAAUAAGAAUAUCAAUAAAAAUUAAUUAUUCAAAAUUAGAAUCAAUUAAAAUAAUAACCAGACCUAUAAUUAUUCGGAGGAUCAAUAAGUUACACGCAUCACCAUCUAUCAGUAUCAAAAACUAAUCAAUAAAGAAAGAGACGUUCUACUUGAAAAAAUUUGUCCAUAAUUUUUAGAACUGCCCGUCUCUCCUACGAGUAAUUGGUAACAUUUUUACCAAUAAUUGGUCGUUGGAUUAGUCAAUGACCAGUAAAAAAAAAAAAAAAAAAGGAAAAGCAAAAAGAAGAUAACAAGAGAUGUCAAGUGCUACACUGAUAUUAUUCAUUUUCCAAAAUCAGUAGUGGCGCUUUUGUCUUGUUCUUGACAUUUUCGGUGCACGUUUGAAUGUAAAGAUCCUUAAAGCGCACAUGGAUGGGCGGGAUCUGCAUGUCAUUGGCUGGAUCACCUAUUCUGACUCCUAAACUUUUACUAGUCACCACUGCUACGUACUAGUGACACUGUAGACUGUGGACCAUUUGUAACUCCUACCCAAUUUCGAUAGGACUAGGAGGUAUAAUCCGCGCGGUGCGCGGAGGUAUAGAAAAAGAGAAGAUGCCCAAGACAAACAUAUGAUAUGGAAGGAAAAUAUCGGAGGAGGAUAUAAAGCAAAAGGCAGAAAAAAGGAUGAAAGGCGUAUUAACUUGCUAAAUUGAUCAUUUUCUACAUCGGAAAUAUCAAGGCAUGAUAAGCCAAAUCUAUAAUAAUAAAGCAUCGAAUUUGCCACUACUCAUAUUAGACUUUGUUAGAGCUACUAAUGACCGACAAAGUUGCAGCAAAUCACUAACAUCUCACGGCAGCCUUUAAUUCAUAAAGAAGGAGCUAUAAAUAUUUGAUACAAGGUAGUCUCCUUACUCCUUUGUAGAUGGGCCUCUAUAUCUUUUUACUGGACGGUGCAAUGAUGUACUUUCCUCUUAUUUUCUGUUGAUUCUUGUCCACACAUUUUUUUGGUAUUUCCAUGCAGAUGAAGCCAAAAACACAUUACCAAGGAAUAUUUAGACAAAAAGUUUGGCUCCUUUGGUGUUUGCAAAUCAUAUUCAUCCCAAAGGAACUGCAAUGACUAAUUAUUAGUUAAAAAGAUAGAGAGGACAUCAAAGUAACCAAAGAAACUUUUCAAACAUUCACUACUAAAGCUUGAUGAGUGCAGCAAGUAGGUUAACAUCAAUUUUGUGGCUAAACACCCAUUAGCAAAGCCUGAAUUGCUAAACAAAUGCAAUAACUUGUUGAACAUUAAACUUCUAGUGCUUUGAAUGGAGAAAAACGAGUAAAAGCAAACCAAGUUGUUUUGUCUUGUUUCAUUUCUUGGUUUAAUGAAGUGCAGAAUAAAAAAAGUAAAUGAACAAAAAAACACAGUACAAAAUCUGCUAUGUGGAGCAACAUGAGACCCAUAUUACAAGACUUGUCAAUUUCACAAAGUUGAAACCUCUUGAAUUCAACGGGAACAUAGACAAAGAUAACAAGAAACCCUUUCAUUCAAAGGAAUCUAGGCUCUAAAUUCUUCAAUUUAUCCAUGUCUUCUCUAAAACCUGACGCAGCAUGCUCUUGCAAAUACACAUAAUGCUUAAAACUAUCAUUUUUCCCUUCAUUUGCCGAAGAAUAGGGCAAAAGAAACAGGGCUCAACACUUCCAAGCAGUUUUUUUAACAAAGGAAAAACUGUAAUGCAACCUCCCCAGCCAAAGUCAACUAUGGACAGUUCAUUUAUAUGGCUAUAGUUCAUUUAUUGCAAAAAACAGCCAAGAAUUUGGCAGUUACAAAUAAUCAUCCACAAAACAAAUUGUCAUAGAACGGAAAAGCAUCAUGUUCCAUAAAUAAUUAGAUACAUAUACAAAACGUAAGCCAUGUACAAACUGAAAUGGCAAUUGAGCCAUAUCAAUUAGCAACCUAGCUACUACAAAAGUUUCUGCAGUUAAGUUCUUUAACAAUGAUAGAUACAUAUUAGACAUUAACUAAAAACGUCUAAUAAAAUUGUUAUCUAGAAAAAGGCUAAAAAAAAAAUAAAAGAUUACAAUAAUCAAUUUAACAUUGAGCUGCAUUCCUAAUCAGAAAACAUGAAUGUGUCACACAGGCAGGACAACAGAUUCUUUCCUCUUAGCCGCCCAGCGACACGAUCACUCAAUUCAACGUUCUGUAGCAAAACUCAAAAGCAUAGUCAUAAACUGCAUAAGUAUGAACAAACAAUACAUUGCUAGUCUGCACACACUACUUAUUCACAGUCAAAAUCCAAACCCUUAGCUGUCUUACAAUAAUCAAUUUAACAGUAAGCCGCAUCCCUAAUCAAACCAGAUGAAUGCCUAACACAAGAUCACUUAGUCUAACAUUUUACAGCGAUAAAAACAGAGACAUAAACAUAACUACAUAAGUAUAAAUAAUCAAACAAAAUACAAAAUACAAAAACAAUCCUAAUAUACCUCAUGUUUAACUUCAUAAACAUGAAAACCAGCCAAGCUAAUCAAUCGCCCGGCUUAGCUGCAAAAAGCCAGAACAUUCACAAAGCCUAAAUCAGGAAAAAUCUCUUUUAGAGAAGAAAAUAACUGUUAGUCUGCCUAAAAAGGAUUAGUCCCACAAUACAAACCAUAAAAACCAUUAACUCAUUUCAUUUUUUCGUAAUCCAAAUUCUAUUCCUUCAAUAAAAGAAGAGAUACACACAGAAUUUGAGGUUUACACAAAAUCAACAGACAACAAGCACAAAAUUUCCUUCACACAUCACAAUCUCAAACACCAAAAGCAACUCAAAGCAAUGACAAAAUUUAACCGAUUACAAUAGUCACAAGUACAAAAUUUCUGAUGGAAUCCACUCAUUAACUGCAAAUGGCUGAUCCUUCAAGCCUCAGAACCACUAAGCACCAAAGCAAAACAUAACAAAAAAAAAAGAAAAAGACAGCCUCACAUGCACAGAAAUGAGAAGAGAUGAGGAAACCAAGCAAAAAAUGCAAAAUCACCCAAUUAAAGAAUCUCCCCGGGGAAAAAAUACAACCAACAAGUCUAGAUCAAAGCAACAAUUCAAAUAUUAAGCACAUAAUAAAAAUCCCCUCUGAGCAUAACUCAUUCCUGGAAAAAUGUCAAGACAAUUAAUCAACAUACAAUUUUUGGUACAGAAGGCUCGAAAAUUUCACAAAUCUUGAGGGAAAAUAUGUCCACCAUGGGAGAAUACCAAGAAAAUUAAUGGUGACUAAGUUUUACCUUUUAACUUUAGCUGCCAGAUUUUCGCUAAAGCUAAACACUCAAUGGAAUUGCUAUCAAAUAUACUGAAAUUCUUAACAAAAUAGCAGUUUGAUGUCUAAACUCCCUUUUUCAGGUUUUAAUCUAACUAAUGAAGUUAGUGAAGUUGCUCAAAUCAUAUGCCAAAAUCAUGAAUAUCCACAAACUUAGUAUCCAAACAUUUCUUGAUUAAAACAACUAACCAGUAAACCACAAAUCCAUUGUCAAAGGCUGAAAAAUUAGGAACAAGCUCUCUUAUUUAUUACAAUAGAAACCAUGGCAUAAAGCAAUACAAAAGAUAUUUUUUAGCAUAAAGCACCGAAAAAGGAUCCGUGGUUAAGUUUGUCAAUAGAAACCAAACUUUUUUAUUUUAUUUUGUCAUUCUCCUACAGACAACUUGUUAAGUUUAUUCAGGCCUUUAGUUUCAUUAAGGCCCAUAAAAAUUACACAUAAUACAUUGACAGGUAACCAUAUCACCAUACACGUAGACCAGAUAGUAUUAACCACAAAUCCUAACUUCAUGGUAUCUAAGAUUUGACAGUACCCUUUUUCAUUUUGGGGCAGGAAGAUGAUAGAUGAUAGAUGAAAGGUUGUGUCUUACUGUACCCUUAUGUUUAGAGUCCAUCAAUUCUUAGUGUAAUACGUAAUAAGAAAACGUAGUACGAAGAAUGAAGAAUGCAGUACGAAGGUAAAGGAACUGACCACAUGAGACAUGGAGUAAUUGGUUAGAUGGCAUGUUUGAACAUGGACCGCUAAAAGCUUUCUCGCAUCCAAAAUCUUGUUCGUCGAUAUUCCCUGCAGUAAAAUGUCCUCCAAUUGGUGCACUUUGGUGGUGUUAACAGAAUUGGCAGAAGGCUAGAACAUGAACUUACCUGUAAGUGUCACUUGUGAAUCCUCAGGUAUAUCUACUAUUAUUUCUAUACCUGUAGGCAUUACUGCAAGAACGGCCAAAACAGUUGUAAUUAAUCAAGACUGAACUAACUAAUUGGAAGACCAAAAAAGUGCAAAAAACUGAGGCUUGUUUAACACACACACACAUCUAAAGUGCUUUCGACCAACAACAUGACAAUAGGUAAUAGUGCCACAAAGCAGGAGUAAAAGGGAACUAAACUCGGUGUAUAAUCAGUGCAAUUGAGAAGUUUUGGCUCAAAAAAUGUUUUGUACUUGAUGCAAUUGUUAUGAUAAUAUGAAUACUAUUCUGUCAUCAUGGUGUUUGGACUAAAACAUGGAAAAGUGACCUUUUACAAUGCUAAGAACCAAACAACACAAGAAAAUCUCAGAAUAGGAACUUGAACUGCUCUUGAUUCGUGAUGCAGCAAUAGAAAAAUGAAACAGAAUUAUUCCCGAUGCCACAGAAAAGCUUACCCACAACAUCUUCUCAAUUGAAGGUGAGCAGAGAAAAUGACAAGCUCUUGCUUUCUCCUCAUUUAUACAUUGCUCAACCUAACGCACAGCUCAGCACCCAGAAAAGAAAACAAAAUAAAAGGAAGUCAAUAAAGAAUGACAAAUAUAGCAAAACUGAAAGACAGAGACAAAUAGAAUUUGCAAGAAAAACAAGAACAAAAAAAUUACCUGACGGAAGAAACUCCUAUCAGACCUCGCACGUAAAAGGAUCUGCAGAAAAGAGGAGCUUGUUAAAAAAAAAUAAAAAAAAAUAAAAAGAAGAGGGAAAUGGAGGAAAUAUUGAAAUACCAAUCUAAAGCAUAUAUCUUCAAGUGCUAGUACCCAACAUCCAAUUCUUGCAUCAAUAAAGUGGAAAUCUUUGAAACCCCACCUCACGGGCUCAUCCAAGCUACAGAAAUAAAAAAUCUAAAAAUUAAAAAGAAUAACAUAAUCCUCAUAAACAACAAAAUAGUAGUAGCAAUCAGAAAAGGGAAAAAAGCAACAAAAAAAAAAGAUCCGACAAGAACAGAUAGUGUACUCGUUGUCUAUUUUCAAAAAAAAAAUGCAAGAUCUGACAAGAAGAGACGGUAAGAUCUGACGAGAACAAGAAUGCACGAAAAAAAAUGUGGAAGAAAAUGAUGAUUAAAGGAACAGAGAGAGAGAAACGAGGACGGUGGAAAGAUCUGGAGAAGAGACGGCGGAAGAAAGAAGCGGCCGAGAGAUUCUUGUGUUUUAUGCGGCAAACCCUAAGCCGAGAAAGAAAAUGGACACACGAAGCGCAUCGCGCGAAAAAGAUGGGAUGAUCCACGUGCGCGGCACGUGUGAGGACGACGAAAACCAUUCCAGGUCAUCAGAGGCCUUCGGCUCUUUAUCUACUUAUGUUGAGAAGAAAAUGAAAGAAAAUAAUAGAGGCUUCCUUCAUUGGAGAGUUUGAGGGGGAGAGAAAACUGAAAAGGAAAGAAAUAGGCAAAUCUUUAAACUAACCUCCAACAACCCCUUUUUUCUUAUUUCUUAAUAAAAUUCCCAACUAGGCCUUAGAACUAAAAGUAGAAAAAAAAAACGAAAGAAAAAUAGAUUGGCAAAUGCGUCAAUUGUUCAACUAGUAUUAGUGUCUGUUUGAUAACAUAAAAAAGUGUUGAAAUUGAAUUCAUUCAGACAUUCAGAUGUCUUGGGUGUUUGAUAAAUAAAAAUUUUUCUGCUGAACUUAUUAAGUGGUGCUAAAUUUGUAUGUAUUUUUUUCAACACAAGAAUCGCAACUGAAUGCUUAAUUUGAUAAGAAUCAAAAGAUUUAUUUCAAUUACUUUAUCUUAUCUACCAAAUCUAUCCUUGUUUGUUAAUUACAUUCAAAAUCAUUAUCUAAUUAAACAAUCUAAUAUUUUCCAUCCAAAAUCCUUAUCUAUUAAACAACCUGACAUUCUUUGUCUAAUGGCUUUCUACUUCUAUUUUCUCCAUAUUUAAUGACUUUUUUUACAAUUUCUCCAUGCUACUCACAUCUGUCUAUUCCUUAUUUUUUUCCAUCUUUCUACUCUUUCAUAAUUUUGUCAUUUUUUCCUUCCAAUUUUUUUUAUUGCUACCGUACUCACCGAUCUCAAAUUCAUUAUUUCCAAGGUAGCGUUAACAUUUUUCCAUUGAAGUAAUUAAAUUUCUAUAUAAUUUGGUGUGAAUUUAAAACUUGUUUAUUGCAGCUUCCUUUUGCUUAUAUUUGGACUUUUCUUGUCAAAUUCUGAUUUAAAAAUAUAUUUGCACCGAUAUUUGGACUUUUCCAUAAUAUAUUUUUUCUUUUAUAUUACUUUGAUUUAAAAAUAAAUAUUGUCAUUUUCAUACCUAACAAUUUUAAGCUAAUUAAAACAUAGGUUCUAUUUCCUUUUUGGAUUAAAAGAUAGAAGGACAAAAUUGUACAAUUUAGCUUAUUAAGCAUUAAGUUAUAAAUAUUUAUCAAAUAGUAUAAAUAUGUUCAGCAUUAAGAUUCAGAUAUUCAUAUAUCUCUUUUCAGUGCUUAAUAUUUAGCAAAUUAAUUGUUUCAGUAUUCAGAAUUCAGAUUCAGUUUUAUCAAAUGGAGCCUUAGUCUAUUAGAUUAAACCUUUAUCCAUUCUAUUCCGCCACGAAUCUCCCUAACCACAUCAGAGAAAAAGUAUAGGCUUCGUUUGAAUUUUUCAUUUUUUUAAAAAACAAGUUUUUUAUUUACAAUAAUACAGUUAUAUACAAAAAAAAAUUAUUCGAAAAAUAUCACAUUCAUACAAUAUAUUAAAAGUAAUUCUAAAUAUAUAAAAAAAUUAAAAAAUUAAAAUUUACACUAUUUUCUUCUUCCCAUCUAUCACCACCAUCGACUAUCACUACUAUCACCAUCCUCUCUUUCCUCCUCCUCCCUUUCUAUUCUCGCCCCCUCUUUCUCCUUCCUCUCUUUCCUCUUCCCCUACCUUUUCUCUCCCUUUCCCAUCACAUCCACUAUUUUCCUUCCCAAUCUAGCUACGACCAGGUUGCAACCAGAUGCCUCGAUUUGGUCCAAACUAAAUUAAGGAAGGGGAGGAGAUGUGCAGGAAAGGGGAAGGGGAGGACGAAGGAGGAGGGAGAAAAAGAAAGAUAGGGAAGAAGAAGAGGGAGGUGGUGGUGGUUACGAUGGGUGGGUGGUAGUAUUAAACUUUUUUUAAAAUAUUCUAAAAGUUUUUGAACUUUAAAAAUAUUUCAAAUUACAUCUCAAAAACACCUUAAAAAUCAUCACUAAAAACAUUCAAGAUAAAAGUUCUUUAUAUAUAUUGUUAUAAUAAAAUAUUUCAAAACAUUCUAAAAAACAACUAAUCCAAACUAUUUCCUCUUAACUCGGGGUUUUAUGACUUGCCCAUCUUUUUCUUGUCUUUCCCAACGCCCAAUCUAUGUGCCUAAGUGUGAAAGGAAGAAAAAGAUCUUACAAGCAACAGCCUGUUGCUGGCUGUUAUCAAUUAAUAAUAAUUAUCCACAGUAGCGGAAUCAAAUACUAACUCUACUAAUCGGGGCGAGAGGAAGAUGGACUAAAUGACACGAAGGAGGGAGUAUAAUUAAGAGUUUUUGGAUUGAAUAUCUCCCACUUACACUGAAAAGGAAAGGCCGUGAUACGGUGAAAGAAGCUGUAGAUCUCUCGCUGGAAAAAUGAAAAAAACAUAAAGUUUGAUCCAUUCUUAAAAGCGUGAAAUAUUUUUAGGCUUCCAGCACAAACGCUCCUCUUCUUCUCGUCACUGACCUGUCAACCCUUUCUAUUAAAUCUCCAUAUCUCAACCCAAUUUCUACUAGACCUGUUAAAACUCAACCCAACCCUCGAUAUUGCCGUUGCCGAGGCCGACGGUAUUCUUUUCUCCCUUUCUUUCUUGCAUGUAUUUAUUGUUAAGACUAUGUGCACAUAUUUAGAUGACUGGCGAAGGAACUUCUUGUUUCGCUCAGCUACUGACACUAACUGGUAUUAGUCUACUGUUGUGACAAUUGCAGAUUAUUUCUGAAAGCAUUUGUUGAUUUGGGAAAGUAAAACAGAAGAUGGCAAAUGUGGGAGAAGUUGAACACCCAUAUGUUCCAAGGGAUUUGAAGUUGCCUGGUUUUGUACCUGCGUUCCUCCCCCCUUCCACUAUUGUUGGUGCUUAUCUGCUUGCUUCCCUACUCGCUGUGUCCAUUGUCUGGAUCGGUUCUGGUAAUUGAUUGUUCUCUCACCAGUCGCCGUUGCUAUCUUUUUUAGUAGUAUCUCAUAUAUAGUUGUUCUACUUCUUCCAUUAGUUGAUUGUAUUCUUGUCUGCCUUGUAUUGCUUGUUAUAUUCGGGCAGUAAGGAAAAUCGGAAGUGAAGAUCAGUUAGCAACUUAUGAUAAUCCGAAUCUGAAGCAUCUAAACGAUUCAAAAUGAGUACUAAAUCCAUCUCCCCUUGUAUUGGGUUAUUCUGUUUUUGUUUUUUUCGUCUGCUUUGUCAAGCAUACUUGUUGACUGGUAAUUAAAAUUGCUGAAGUGACUUAAUUUGCUGAAAACAUGUGACAAGUUCUUUUCUAGAAGUCAAAGUUCAAAACUUUGAUAAGUUGAUGCAGUCUUUUACAUUCCUUCAUAUAUUUCUUGUUGCUGCAAGCCCACCAGUAGAAUUUAUGUGAGAUCUCUGUAGGUUAGGAUGUAGAAAUGUGGUCAUGUUGAUAAGAGGUUGCUUGCCUGGGUAGUCCAACAAUGAAAAGUCUUGCUUGUUCCAAUCUAAUGCAGUUAAUCUGUUUGCCACACAAUAUUUAUUUAUCUGAGAUCCUGAAUUAUAUCAUAAUUCAUAUGGUAAAUGAAUUGUUUUAAUCUCUUCGUGGGAGCCUUAAGGUGAAUCAAUGUAAAUUCACUCUCAACAAUGUCUUAUAUAUGUUAAUUGUGAGCAGGGACACAUUGACAUAAGUUCACCUACAGCAACAGUAUGUGCUCCCUUGCAAAGACUUUUUGGGGUUUGCAUAGCUCCCAACUAUCCUUGAAUGUAUUGGACUUCGCCUGAGUGGUCCAUAAUGUGACUUAGUAAAUGAAUUACUUGAAAUUCAUUUGAGAUUGGAAUUCUGAGAUUGAAACCAUCAUUGAAUGUAUGGGGUUUGCCUGAUUUGUCUAUAGUAUAACUCAAUUAUGAAUGAUUAAGAACUCACUUGAGACUGGAGUUCUGAAACUAAGCAAAAUAAUCACUAAUCCCCUUGUUUUUCACUUGAUUCUUUACAGCACGACUUACAUCACAGGUCAUAAGCCGUUACCCAGAUCUUUGCCUUUAUUAUCUAUACCUGUAUUGAAUAAAUUGUGAUUGCUUGAUUGAUGUCUGGAUAAUAAUCAAAUACUCUCCUCAAAUCUGAUUUUUUAAAUUGUUAUGAUUUCAUUCAACAAGUAGUUGAACCAUUUAAUCAUCUUUGCCUAAUUGCAAUUUCCUAUACAAGUCAAAGGUUUAGUUAUUUAUGUACUGUGUUGACCAUAGAGUAGGAAAUUGUUGGAUCACAUCCAUAUUGGGCUUUCUUGUUUUAGGAUUCUGCUUAUAAGGAGGUUUUUACAUCUAACUCCUAGCUAUCCUUUGCCAACGUGGAAAUUCAUUGAUCAUUGCUUUAAUAUUUUACCAUCCUCAAUUAAUGGUAGGACGGAUCCACAAGAUAUCAAAGCUUGAUAGAAUACUCAUGUGCUGGUGGAUCUUCACGGGGCUAACCCACAUGGUCCUUGAAGGUUAUUUUGUAUUUACUCCAGACUUUUACAAGAAGACAACCCCAGUUUACCUUGCUGAAGUCUGUAAGUUUUUAGCUUAAUCUGUUAUUCAAAUCGGAAUCCUUUCUUUGAGAUUGUAAGAGAGUAAUUGCUUUAAAAUGGAAAAUGGCAGGGAAGGAGUAUAGCAAAGGUGAUUCAAGAUAUGCUGCGCGUGACUCUGGAGUUGUUUCUAUUGAAGGAGUUACCGCAGUAUUAGAGGGUCCCUUUUGUCUUCUCACCCUGUAUGUAUGCUUGGGUUCACUUAGUAUCAUCCAAGAGGAUACAAUCAUUAGUCUAUAUUUCUAAAUUUUUUUAUUUUGUGCUUACGAAAAUCUCAUCUUCACGAAUGCUCUAUAUUUUCCAGCAUAACAUUGUGGUUUAAUUUUGGCAGGUUUGCUAUAGCUGCAAAAAAGUCAUACAGGUAUGUGAUUCAGCUGGCCAUUUCUUUGGGGCAGCUGUAUGGCACCAUUGUAUAUUUCUUGACAUCCUACUUGGAUGGGGAUAAUUUUGCUGCAAGCUGGUUUUACUAUUAUGCAUACUACGUCCUUGCAAAUGCCUUUUGGGUUUUAAUCCCAACAGCAAUAUCGGUCCACUGUUGGAAGAGGAUAUGUGAAGCAAUCAAGGAUCAGGACCUGAAAAAGACCAAAACCAGCUAAGGUUGGAAUAACAAUUUUCAACUCAAAGCAUCUAGAUCUUGAACCAUCUUUAAUCGAUUCUAUUUGAGAUGGACAUUCAAUGACAUCUUCAUGAAGGAUAUUUGCAAAAAAUGACAGAAAAAAUUGAAUGAAGUUGACAGUAUCUGUAAUGCAUUCAGUUUAUGAAAGCCAUUUGAUGGGUUCAGUUAUCACUGGCUAAUUUGUUUCUUCGUUCUCUUGUUUCUUUCUGUAACUUAUGAGUGUCUUGGUUAAUGGGCCUCGUAAAAGUCUUGGCAUUGGUUUUGUCAUUGGUUAAAUAGGCAGAACUUCAUCAUCUGUGAUUUACGCUUGAUUUGGUAGGAAACUAUUUGUGGAAGCCGAAUAUUUUGCACUUAACCAACACUCUAGUCUGAGCAACUGUUCUCUGGGAUUCAUGUUUAGAAGGGUAUAGUACUGCAAGCCCUUCAGCUUUUUGUACUCGCUAUUAUUACCAUACGUACCAAUGAAGUACCUGAUCCAGAUAUCAUUCUUGUAUUGCCUUCCAGUUUUAUCCUUCUGGUAAUUAGGAGGAUAAAAAAUGGAUGAAUCAUAUUUAUACAUUGAGGUGAAUGCCCGACAAUUUAUUUAAAUUUAAAUUUAAAAUUCAAAAUUUACUUAUAUAUUAUACAUCUAAUCCUCUUAUAAUAUACAUUAUCAAUGUAUAUAAAAUUAAAUUAUAAAAAAUCGGUUUCUCACUCUCAAAGACGUGUACCAGAACAGCAGGAAAAAGGAAUAUCAUACUUAGUGUGAUAUUUGGAAUUUGAUUAAAAAUAAUCACAAAAAAAAAUGCCGAGUCUCUUGAAUUCUUCAUAGGUUCCAUGAAGCUAAACAGUAAAUUCACGCUACGCAGUGUGAUUUUACAGUUUGACGAACGACAUUUAUUUCAAUACUACCAAAAAAAAAAAAAGAGCAACAGACACUUAACUCAGUAAGUACUAAACAAGUUACACAUCUUCCUAAUCCAGAGCUCUUAUUUCUGAACAAAAAAACAAACGGACAGACAUAUCAGGAGCUGCUAUUGGUGAUGGCAUCAGCAUCAACUUUACUGUGCGUUCUGCUGUUGACAUAGGUGCAAGAAUUUGUGCAUUACACCAAAUGCAUAGCCUAUGCGAUGCUUACACGUACAUCUGCUAUGGCAAGAGUGUUUCACCAGCUUAAUCUGGAUGACAUGAAUGAUAGAAAUUAACUAGCUCCCAAAGCCUGAAGCCCAGAACCGUCUACUCAAUAGUUGGCUUCCAUCCUUGAAUCUCUUGGUAUAUAUUAGCAUCCACCUUCAUUGUCUUGUCCACUAGGCGUUGAGAAGAGGUACCAACUUUGAAAACCAUAAUCCAUCAACGUCUAGGCAGCUCAGUCUUGUGGUUGCACUCCUCUUGGUCGUCAAGGCUGCAUUGGUGAUGCUUGGCAAAUGAUACGAACACAAAUACAUCAAUAGUGAAGAAUGAAUUUACUCUGAAAUGCUUACCUAGUGGUUUCACUUUCUUUCCUUCCCUGCAACCAAUCACUUGGAGGAUUAUACAUAGUUUCCCCCACAUCCAUAACAAUAACAGAUCCUGCAAGGGCACGUAUACCAAAGGAGAAAAAGUGACAGUGAAAUAAGACUUAAUUUGCUGUUUCUGAUAUCUCCCUGUCAGUUCUACCGAUUCAGUUAAACCCACCAAAGGGCUAACAAACUCACCAAUUCACCGUUCUAAUCUGCAGAGACAUACUAGAGAGUAGUCACAAGGCAAUCUACUACACCACAAGAAGACAAUUUCCAUCCAUCACUUCAAGUCGCCCAUUUAAGAUGCCUUUCAGCCUUCAAAAGAUUUACACUCGGGCCAAAACGGAAAGCCCAAAGCAUGACAAGAAUAUCAAAAAAUCAUGCCAGAGUAUAAUAUUAGUUGUUGCAUGAUAUUUAGUAAAUUUGGGUUUGAAAAGAGUACUGCUCCAAGAAAAUACAAGAAUCAAUUGCCAACAAACAAGAAAAUACUAUUGAAGGAAAAAACUUUAACGUAAAUAUACAAGUCGCAACACCCCCAAUCCCUCAAAGAAAACAAGAAACAUGAAUGAAUUUAUAUGCUAACCAGAGGAGGAUUUGCAAAAGAUUACACAAUGCAGAAAUGUCAUUGCUCAAACAAGCGCUAUGACUGCAAAUAAAGCAGAAAACCAGAUACAAAAAUGCCCCCAAAUCCCCCUUAUUUUACGUAUGUAUUUAAGCGGGUUGUAUAAGAAGAGAGGAAGAAUGAAAUGGAAAAGUUUUCUUGGUUAGCAAUACUUGCUCAGGUGCACUGAACACAGCAAAUCACUUCUUCCUCACCACCCAUACUUUCCUUGUGUUUGAGCUUUGGUGAGGAAGCCUCUGGCACGUCGCUCUGAAAGUUCCAUCUCUUUCUGCUUCAUAUCGAAGAACAAGGACCCAAUCUGAUGCUUCCUCUUGUGCAGCUUUGAAGGCUUUCCUUUGGUUGAAGUAGGCUGCAGCCAAAGAAAACAACUUGCAUCAGCAAAGGAUAGAGAAUUAAAGCGGAGAGAAGAUUCUAUGAUGCUAAGAAAGAAAGGAAAUGUAAAUGAAAAUAGCUUCUGACUCCUACAGCUGGUUUCACAAGAACAUGUAGCUUCUCAAUCUCACAAUACAACCUUGGAGAUAAUUCUGGAUGUUACACUCAUGAAAAUAUAUCAAUAAUCCCCCCCCCCCCAAAAAACAAAAAGGGCAAAAAAAACACAAAAAAUCAGAAUGGGACCUUUUCUCAAGUAUUACAUGAACUUACAAAUUGUAGAGUCAAGUUACUACCUCCAGCUUCAUACAAUUAUACACAAGUAAUAUGCGACAAAAUUAUGUCUCUUUCAACCAAAAAACCAAAACACUAUAAUGGACAGACCGAUUAUACACCACAUGCAUUUCAUAUUAAAGAAGACACUACGUGUGCUUUGUAAAGGGCGAAAAAGAAGAGACAUGUCAACAAGCCAGAAUCACAAAAUUAUUCAAACGACUUGAUUAUAGUGCAGAAGUACAACUUCUAUUUACCUGGUAAGCUGGCCCAAAAGCAAUUCCAGUUAAUUUGACCUGGUCCUCCCUAGGCCGAUCCUUCAUCAACUCAUCCUGUUUCACCUCAACUAUUUCCUCGGGUGCAUUAUUCCUGCCUCUCUUACCAGACACUCUCCAUGCAUUCUCAGCAAAUCCAGACACCUCUGGCCCAACAGCUGCAGUAGGAACGUCAGCCCAGUUAUUCUCGUACUGCCCAUAAUUCGCAUAACUGCCAUAAUCACCAUUGUAAUUCACGGAAUCCCCAUUUCCUCCAUCCCAGUUCUGAUAAUCACCUGCAACACCACUACCACCAUUAUUUUCGUAGGCACCAUAACCAGCAUGAUUGGCAUAAUUCUCACUCCCGUGACCCCAACUCGAAUAAUCUCCGCCUCCAUUUGCAUAUCCUGACGAGUUACUAAGAUCUCCACCUGAGCUCAUCGACAUCUGAUCGUUACUUGAUUGGCCCUCAUAAUAGCCUAUACUGCUAGUACUAACACCAGCUUCACUCCCACUAGCAGCAUUCACCACUUUUGAGUCCUUCAAGCCCGGCACGUCAGCGUCAAUGGUUGACCUCCUACCCGACCCUGAAGCCGAAGGAAGAGCACCCAAAGUGGCAGAGUGUCUGGGCGCGGGGAUACUCGAUAGAAAAGACUUGACUGAAGCAGUCUGGACUACCGGUUGUUUCUUUUGCUCCUGCUCCUCGUCGUCAUCAUCGUCUUCAUCAUCAUCUUCAUUGCCGACAUUAGUGGAUGAAUAUACGGGAGGCGGUUUAAAUUGAACCACCCUCUUUCCAGCAGAUUGUGCAGGAGGCGGAGCUCGAGCAUCAGGAUUGAGGGUUUUGGUGGGCUGCGGAAGAGAAGAGAAAAGAGAUGACGUGGAAGAUGAUUUGGGUUGAGGAAGCGAAGCGAACAAAGAUGACGAUGGUUUUGGAAGCGAUGCCAAAUGUCCCGAACUUUCCGGAGUUAUUAGCAAUUGCUGCCCAUCCUCCUCUUCUUGAAGUACAUUAGAUUUAUGUGGAUUCAGGGUUGAGGAAGACGACGAGACAGGGGGCUUUGGAGGGUGAGAUUGGGGUGGGGGAAGUGGAAAGGAGAUGGAUGACGAAGAAGAAGAUGAUGAAGAUUUUGGGGGCGGCAGCGAGGAGAGGAAUCCAGCGGAUUUGGGAUUUGAGAGCUGUGGUUUAUCUUCUUGUUCUUCAUCGGAAGAGGCGUAGCUCGCUAGCAAAGAGUCCAUGACCAGAAGCAAAAGGGGAGCAAAGCCCUAAUUUCAGAACAGGGAGAGUAAAAAGGAUCUUCCUUUCUUUUUUUUGGGGGGGAAAGUGGAGGGGGGUAAGGGUGACGGGUUCCGACUAAUGAACCGAGGUGGAAUUAAUGACGGCGACGGCCUUAACCCGACCCAACUGAGUCAAACAGUAAUCAACAAUGGCUUUAUCUUUUUGCGCCUGUGGGGCAAAACUGCAAAAGUAGGUAGGAAACCAGGGGCUUAGAAAUAACACCUACAAGAUUUGGGCAAAUUUUGGAAAAAAAAAAGAUUUGGACCUAGAGAGAUUCAAUAAUUAUAAAUUAGAAUUUUACCCGUGCCUUAACACGCUCUCUUUUCUUAUUUAUUAUGAAUUUAUACAAAUAUAAAUAAUUUAAAUAUGAAAAUUAAUAACAAUCCUGUGUGCCCACUCUUGUUAACUUUGAAAGAUUAAUGUAUUCUAAAUGUUCAAUUAUUUAUUAAUUUUUUAAAAAUUAUUUACAUACUUUCACAAUAAUAUGAUAGUAUAUAUCAAAUAAUAUAUCUCAUAUCAAAAACUCGGUAGAUAUUCUUUUAUUAUAAAUAUUCUUUUAGAUAAUUUAAAUUUUUAUAAUGGCCAUAAAUCUAGAACUAUAUAUUCACAUUUAAUUAAGUAAAAAAGAUCCAGCAAUCCAGUUUUUUUUUCAUAAAUAAAUAUUUAGUUUCCAAUAAUAUUGGUAAAUAUGUCGAUGUAACAGUUAAUUCUCUUUUUUUGUACUAAAUUAAUUAAAAAUUAAGGGAAGAGAUGAUAAAUAAUUUGUAUACAAAUCAACGAUAUGGUGGUGAAAGGAAAUAAUUUAUGGAAUAUGUAAGAUUUUAAGAAUUGUGAUUUGAAAAAGGUUUUACUAUAAUUCUAUGUAAUAAUUUCAUAGAAAACAUUAAGUUAAAAUUAGUUAUUUUUUAAAGUUAUUUUAGAUAUCAUAAAGAUAAAAUUAGUUACUUUAAAAUUAGGGAUAGUUUUUAAACAUAUAAUAUAAUAUUCAAUAUCGGUAAAAUCCGAAUGACCCAUAACCCAUUAUUUUUCUUCAAUUAGACAUGCCACAUAAGAAUGAGAAACAACUCUAAUUAAAAUAGUUAUUUUCACACACACACACACACACACACACACACACACACACACACACACAUAUAUAGAUUACAUUUGUUCAAAAAGUAAAUUAAUCCUUGUGUUGCAGACAAAUGAUUACCCUCGAAGGAUUAAUACUAAUUCGACGUACAAAAUUGGAUGUUCAUCUGUAGUUACGGUACAUGCUUUUAUUUUUUUAUUUCUCUGUAAUUAUUUUUUUUAUUUCUAUGUAAGUGUUUGGACAGAGUAUUUUUCAAAAUAUUAUUUAAAAUAAUUACUAUAACAUUUUUUUUUUUUGUGAUGUAAUGUACGCAAGAUAAAAAAAUGGUUGGACAUAUAAAAAAUUUGAUUAGAAUAUAUAUUCUUAUGAUACAAGUGAUAUGUUAUUUGAAAAAAUUUAGCUAUCCAAACUACAUCGAUACUAAAGAAAUUUAAGUUUAAUGACAAAGAAAUAUGUUUCUUUUCUAAAUCACUGUUUUACAACAUAUGGAAAUUGCUGUUUUGCUAUCAAUGACACCACCAUCUACCGCAAUGAAUCAGCAAUCUUGUCCAUUAACGUAUAAGAUUUGACUGUUUUAUGGUUCCUCAUGGAAAUGGAUAAUUUUGUCUUCAAUUUCUUUAGUUUGCUUUCAAGUGACUUUUAUCUGAUUUCUGUAAAUCCUUUCGUUUCCUUGAAAAUUCCCACCAUCCCAAUAUACUGCACAUCCUUCGGAAGGGAACUCCAGAUUUCAUAAUCAUUGUGAUGUCUCCUCCUUGAACCUAUUGAGCAAGAAAAUAACAUAUGAAUAAUAGGACUGCAAAGUUGUCUGAAGACAGAGACGUACUACUUAGCUAAUCCGCUCACAUCACAUCACAGCGAGAUUUCACGCCCUGGUAACUGGUAAGACUUAGGAUCCGAGAUCUCCUCCCCAAACUCUUUUUCUUUUUGCUAUGAGACCAAAACCUUACCGGUAUGUAUCAAAAGAACAAGGCAUUGUCAGGCCAAAACCAGCCAGUAAUACUGAUGCAUGGUUGACGGAUCAGCAAAAGAAAGCACGACACGAAGUCACAAGUAGAUUCAUUACUGUAUGGCAAAUGGAGCUCUCCAAGUCGAGGCCCUAAGAAAUGCUAUACCAGUUGUUACAAACCCUAAGUGUUAUGCAAGAAAAACAGGGCAUGCUCAUCAUUUCAGCAGCAAAUGAAGGUAACUUUGUUUUCCACAUUUUAUUCAAAUGCGUAAACCAUGAACAGCCCAUUUCUUAUUUUAGCAGCAAAAGCAUACUUCUCAUUUCCAAAGCAUGAUAACUAACGCACAAUGUCCAUAUGAAUGCUGAUGCGCCAUGCUCUAAAGAUAUACCAUAUCCUGGAUGACUUCAAGUGUCUGUAUAGAGUACCUUAGCAUUUUCUGGUUACAGUUACUGAAUUGCUUAAAACCAAGCAUUUCAAGAUUUCUCUCUCUCAUUCUCAUAAGAAAUAAAAAGAGAUGGAUGGUUGAAGAUCUCAAUGUUAAGUCACUGUUAACAUGCGAAACAGCAAUCUUGCAACUAAACGUGUAUGUCAAACAACACACUAUUGGAAGCAAAAAUUGACCCAAAAAAAAAAUGCAAUCAACAAUACCAUCAGAAGAUAACUGUUCACAACAGUUGUAGAAAGCAGCAUCCAAGAUUUUAGUAUUUCAUAGUUAAAUAUGACCAGAUUAGAGUAGAUCUCUAAUCUUACUAUAAGACUUGCAAGGCAACUGUGUGAAUCACAACCAGCUCCUGGGAAAUAAAGGGAAGAAUAACUGAUCAAAAGAGAUUUGUCACAGAUAAUGUAGAUUCCUUCCCCAGAUGUAUAAUUUCAUGUAAGACAUCCGAAUCCAAUUUCACCUGAGGAAUACUCAUUGAGUAAGGUAGAAAUAAUAAAUUCGGAAAAUACAUGGUGAAGCAUUGGAUAUCUUCAUAGGAAGCACCAACUUUCUUGCAUCUAUUGGACAGAUUGCAGAUAAAAUUAGUAAAGCAACCAGAUCACUGCCCAUCCUUCUUUCAAAUUACGGUAGCUUAAAUUUUCAAAUGCUCCUCAAUCCUUCGUCAGCAAACAAUUGAAGUAGAUCAAAAUUUCAUCUAAAUAAAGGUGAUUUGUUUCGCAUAAAGUAACCGUAAGUGUCUGCAAUCAUUUGCUCUUGAAAUGUAGGACAGGAUAGAGCUUAAGUUUGUUCUCCCUUAACAUACUUGAGUUCAGAUGCACCAAAGCUUCAUGCUUUCACUGAAGAAUCACCUUUCUUUGACUUCAAAGACUGCAGCAUGUGAUAUGAUAAACUCGGCUGUUGGUAUAUCUAAAUUCAACCAUAAAACAGAUGGCCUUUGCAAAAGACCUAAUAGGUUGGAUAAAGAUGCUGGUUUUCUAUCGUGUCAAAGCCUAAUGUAGCCAAAAGAAAAGAGUAAGAAUUCUCACAGGAAACUAUCAUUUGCAGUCUACUCCUAAUUUGUGACAAUGCUGAAGUUUUACGCGAGCUGUUAAAGUUUCCACAAAAACUAAUUUAAACCUCAUAAGUAGUAAUCAUCCUCCUCUUUGUUCCCGAAUUUAUUCCUGUCCCAAGUGAAUGAACUCCAAGAAAAUCUAGGUAUGAAUCACAAACUUGAUUUGGCCAAAACAAUGCAAUCCACAAUGUAGAAAAGAUAAUAACUUGAUAAUUAGGCUCCAAAUCUAAAUGGUUUGACAGAAAAGUGAUGCAACCUCAACUCUACCAAAAACAUUGAAAGAACAAAACUUUUUUCUAAUUGCACUGGAAAUAACAGAUUACCUCAAGCUUAAACACAUCGAAGCAUCCGAAUAGUACACAAUAACCAGAAAAUACAAUAAAGUCAUAAACUUGGAGAUAAAAAAAAAAGACAGGUCACUAGUUUAAGCUAAUGCAGAAAAGCGUACAGAGCAGUUGAAAUGUAAACCAACAGAGCAGACGACACCAGAACAAUCAAAGCAGUAACAGCAUGAACUGUAGAUUUACUCCCACAAGACAACAUCCCCAGCCUUAUUUCAAUCACAUUCACCAUGGAAAGCAUCAAGAACAAGCACCCCAUUACUGAUCCAAUUGCAGAGCCCAACAUCCCAAAUCUCAGGACCCUCAAACUGAUGUGGGCUCUAAAGGCCUCAUCAACAUCUUUACUAUUCAAAAGAUUGAUGGCUAGCUUGAGGCCUUGAGCUAUGAGGGAUGAGAAGAGGAAGAAACUAAAGGACACGACCUCAAAUACAAGGAGUUUCUUGGCCACAUCGAUGCCGGCAUCACAAGCUGAAUUUUCAAGGCUGUGCUGGUGUGGGGUGGUUAAAGAUAGCCCCACAAAUACUGCUAUUGUGAAGAGUGAAUUAACAUUGACUAGGCCAUCAAGGGCUGUCACGUGGACACUGGUGGUGGAGGAGGAGGCGUAGCUGGAGGUGGGGUCUGAGGUGGUUCUUCUGGGUUCUUGAGAGUAAUAGUCUUUCGGAUAUGUCUCAGAUCUGUCAAAAUCAUGUAAAGAUACCAAAUUUAAAAUUUAUAACCACAUCAGAAGCUACAAUACUCGAAUUUAACAAAGUAGCUUGUGAAUGCAAAAAGAUGAUCUUUCAAAAAAAAAAAGGGCAAAAAGAUGAUGGGGAAAACCGAGAAGGAUAUUACUCUUCCAUGAUCGAGUUGCUGUAUUGGACUCCUUGAUGCUCCUAAAAGCAAAUGAUAAAAAGUUUGUAUCGAAUGAGGUUAGGUCUACUCUUGAAGUUGCUUGGCGGUUUUGCGAAUGUGUUUCCCGGAGGGGAAGGGAAAGUAGCAGACGGAACUGGAGAGCUGAGGGGACAAAGAUACUUUGCUGUAUUCUUUUCGACGUUUGGUUUUUAUGGUUUUGGGCGCGUAUUCGCGUUAGCUAUCCGUAAAGAGCACGUCUUCUUGUAAAGGCUGUAAUAAUUUCAGCAGAAGAUCUCCCAUUUCACAAUAUUUAUUAGGGUUAAUUCCACUUUAUCCUCCCAAACUUUGGAUAAUUAUCCACCUCAGUCCCUAAACUUUAAAAUGGGACACUUAAGUCCCUAAAUUUAUAAAUACCUCAUACUUAAGUCCCUAAACUUAUAAAAUGGAACACUUAAAUCCUUAAACCCUUAUAAAAUGGGACACUUCAAUCACCAACGGCAUUCAUAAUUUGUUAACAAUUUUCCUUAAGUGAGAGGUAUUUAUACAUUUAGGGACUUAAGUGUCCAAUUUUAAAGUUUAGGGACUGAAGUGAGUAAUCGUCCAAAAUUUGGGGGGACAAAGUGGUAUUAACCCUAUUUAUUAAUGAUACUUGAUAUAUACUUUUUUGACUGACGAUACCAAUAAGUAAUAACAGUUACUAGUACUAUGAGAGAGAGUAAAGUGUUGAUUUUUGUACAAGAAAUGAAAAUUUGUUUCAAAGGAUGUUCUAUUUUUAUCUUAAGGAUUAGUAGAUUUUAGGUUUUCGAGAUUUUCUUUUUGAAUGUCUAGUUAAUAUAAUAAUUUCUCUAGCCUUAGACAUGACUCAUGUCUCUUUGUGUUUCAUGUUCAUGUUCAUGUUGACGUUCUAGUUUAGAUAAAUAAAUACCGGGAAAAUUUUAAAAAAAAAUCAGUUAGAAUUGGUAAGACAAUUAGUAGUGUUUUACGUAAUUUCUAAAAUUACAAUGAAAAAUAAAAACUAACAAGUUAGAGUCGUUGGGAAGGGAGGAGCCGAAAUUAGAAGUAACUAGUAGUUGCAUGUGGUUGAAAUGGAAAAGCUUUAAAACUUGUUCCAUGUAUAGAACAAUUUCCAAACAAAUAAAGAAGUUACCCUUCAAACGAGGUAAAAUUUACGUCUAUCACAAUUUGAUCCAAUUAAAGCACUACUUAGUAGUGCCUUCAAGCAAGGGAAAAGGAAAAAAAAAAAAGGAAGUUUCAAUUAAUUCCAGUCCGCACAAUUUGCCGAAGUCCACAAACUUAACGAUUGUUUGGAUUGCAUUUUUCUAGAUUUUUUGUAGAAAAAUACUAUAGGGAUUUGAUAUAUGUAAGGUAAAAAGGUGAUUAAGAAAUGUGUUCCCGGAAACGUAGCAAUUUUUCUUUAGAAAAUUGCUGUCCAAACAAGGCCUUAGGCAACUAAUUACUCCAUCUUCAAAUGACACUGAAGGGUGAAGAGCUAAAGCUUGCUGACUAAUUGAAACCUAAACCAAAAUCCCAGGUACCACCGCAGUAAUAAAAAAUGCACACUGCUUGGAACUGUCAAUCGACUCCGACAAGACAAAGAUCCACAUCCACUAUAGGGAGCAUCAAGAACCCGCACAGCGCACCCGAUUAGAGACCCAACUGCUGAUGCCAACAUCCCAUGUCUCAUAUAGAUUCUCAAGGCUCAUCUAUAUCAUUGCUGUAUAGAAGAUACAUGGCCAGAUUCAGGCCUUGAGCUACGAGGAUGAAGAAGAGGAAGAAGCCGAAGGAGAUUACUUUAUCUAUAUCUACGUCAACGUCGGCAUCGCAAGCCGAACCCCCCAAGACUCUGCUGGCCGGCGGCGGCCUAAGAUAGCGCACAACACUGCAACCACGAAGAUGUAGUUGACAUUUAUUAUGCCAUCAAGGGCUGUCACUUGGAUGCUGCUGGUGCUGCAGGAUGACCUGGAGGAUGAAAGGGAAGAGGUGGCAGAUCCUCUGUUUGCAUCAUUUCCGUGAAGCAAGAAAACAAUCGCCUAAUAGCAUAUUACAGAAUCAGCUGGGCCAUUAGCAGCAUCCUAAACCGUGAGUAUGUCUGCUGUAAGACAAACUGUCCAGCAAAAGACGGAAAGGGAGAAUGCCGUCGCGGUUCCAUGAGUUCAUUACUGCUUCUUGAUUGGUGGAAAGUAAAUGGGAAGUCUAUACUAAUUCAUUGCAGCUGUGCUUGUUACGGUUGAUUUGUUGAACUUCAUUUAAAUCUGUCUCUAGACUGAAAGUUAAGUGAUGAAAGUUGGAAGAGGGUGAAUUCGUGACGAACGGUGUUUUUGUGUGAAGAUAUAUUGGAAAACCUUGACCCUGGAAAAUUCAGUAUGGUUGAUGUGUUAUAGAAACAGCAGUUAAGAUGCGAUGAUGUCCACGUCUGUGCCUCUGAAACCCUUGUAACCAAUAAAAUCGUGGGAACAACAGGUUCUGACCAAAAAUGAUUUUUUGUGAAAUCGCUUAAGCACUCCUGUAAGGAAAUUUUCUACCCAUGUUUCGUUCUGCCUCUAGGACACAAAUGUAAUAUGACAAACUCUUUCUUAUACACGAGAAUAUCAAGUUAGGCAUUAAUAGGAUUCAAGCAACAGAAAAAGGCAAAGAAAAGCAAAGAAAAGACAAAAAAAAAAAGAAGAAGAAGAGGACGAGAGAGAGCAUGUAUGAUAUAUCAUAUAUACAUAAACUGGAAUUAUAACAUCAAAAUAGAUGAAAAAUUGACUGCAGCUUACCGAGGCAGGCAAGUAUUGGUGUAGAUUCCGAGUUGUAUUAUCAUUCAAUCUUCCAUGUCUAACUCAAAAGUAACAAAUAUUCAUUUUUGUGGUUUAACUAGCAUAAAGGUUGUGAUAUUGCCAAUAUCCAAACCUAUUAGCUUGCAGUUUACUACAAUGCUGCACCUCGUUUGCAGCCCAUAUGACAGACGAUAGAUAUCUUCGCAACUCCCAAACACAAGCAAAAUACCUGGCAAUAGUACCCCCAAAAAAAAUUAGCAAAGAAGGGAAAAGGAAGAUUAAAAAUGGAAACAAAGGUCCAGUAUGCAUUAUCAUAAAAUCAAUAAUCGAAUGCUUAAUGGACCAAGCAACAAACAGAUAAGCAUCCAAACUCUUACGACAGGUUACAUUAGCUGUAAUGGAACUGCAUCAUCUUCUUCCACCUCCCUCACAUCCUCAAUUACUCCUCAAGUACAUCUAGUCACGUGGCCAAUGAUGUGCUACUAAUCAUCCAAGAGGGUGGCUAGAAGGUUUUAACUGAAACAGAAAGAGACAGAUACAACCACCAAGUCUACAAGUGUGACCAGAAAAUUUCCCUCUCCUUUCUUUUUCAUUUUUUGUCACCAAUAAUCACCACAAGAACAGAUACCAUUUUCAAAAUGGUGAAACCUAUUGCGAUCUCUCAAGACAAUAUUUCUCCCAGUUAUUUCUGUAAUGAGCUUGAUAGCAGAAUGGCAGUCACUGCAAACCCUCAAAUUUUUUACAACCCUUAUUGUGGUAUGUGGCUUGGUGGAAAUCAAUCCAUAGCAUAUUGCAAGCCUCUCGCUGUGUAUGGCUAAAGCCCACUUUUUCUCUUGAUCCCCAAUAUCCUGUGAAAUCACCUCUGUAUCUGGAGAAUAACCCUUUAACCUCAACAUCUGGUUCAAGUCCUCAAGUUUUUUGUAGAUUUCUUCCCUUUUCGGGUGUCUAGUGUCUCCCAGAAGGAACUCAUGAAUCUCAUUUUCCACUUCAAUAGAACUGCAACCUGGUUCCUUUCGUACACCUCCAUCCUGCAACUUUACCCUUGCUUGUGCCGCUGCUUCCCAUUUUCCCUGAGCGGCAUAGAAAUUGGAGAGAAGAAUAAAGGUAGCUGAAUCGGCAUCUCCAAUGUCAACUAGAACUUGUGCAACUCUUUCUCCUAUAUCAAAAUGCUUAUGAAUUCUGCAAGCGCUCAACAGUGAUCCCCAUAUUAUAUGGUCUGAGGUUAUUUUCAUACUCCAGAUGAACUUGUAAGCAUCCUCGAGAUGACCAACUCGGCCAAGAAGAUCGACCAUGCAUCCACAGUGCUCAAUUUCGGGUUCAAUUCCGUGUUUUGUUUCCAUGCUGUCAAAGAUGUCAAAUGCCAAAUCCACCAAACCACCAUGACUACAUGCAGUCAAAACACCAAUGAAGGUAAUGUUGGUUGGUCUGAUCCCUUUGGUUAUCAUUCCUUGAAACAUCUCAACAGCCUUUCCACUUUUCCCAUUCAACGCACACCCCAUAAUCAAUGAAUUGUAAGUGGUGACAUCUCUUUCUCGCAAAACAUUGAAGAUUCUCUCAGCUUCAUCAAUAUCCCCACACCGUGAAUACAUGGUGAUCAAAGCCGAGCCAACUAAAUGAUUAACAUCAAUAUCAUGCAUCUCCAGGUAAGAAUGAACCCAUUUACCAAGUUCUAAUGCUCCCAACUGUGCGCAUGCAGAUAAGAUGCAAACACAGGUAACUUCAUUUGGUCUCACACCCUCCCUCUGCAUACGCCUGAAAAACUUCAAAGCCUUGCUCAUUUCCCCAUUCCUUACCAAUCCAUCGAUUAUUGCAGUCCAACAAACCGCGUCCUUAAUCCUCACCAAAUUAAAAACAUCAACCGCCUUCUCGGCCAAUCCAUGAUCGCUAUAACACGAAAUCAUUACAGUCGCGGCGACCACAUCUCUCUCAGGCAUUUCACCAAACACCCUCUUCGCAUCUUGAAAUUCGCGGCAUUUCCCAUAAAGUUCUAUUAACCUUAACUUGACAGAGCGGUUUGAGCACAACCCAAGUUUGGUAGCCUGGCCGUGAAUCUCCCUACCAAAUUUCAAUUCCAUUUGAAACCCGCAUGCCUUGAGUACGGAACUGAUUACAUAGUUGUCCGGUAAAAUGAGAUCCUCAACCAUUUGACAGUAAAUUCUAAUGCUGUCAAGAUAUAAUCCAGAUAACACGACGCCAUCAAUGAGGACAGUGUAAAGAUAGACGUUGGGUUCCCGGAUAUGGUGGAAAAUCUCGAAAGCAUAGUUAAUUGAAUUGGUUUUGGAACACAUGCGAAGCAGCUCGAAUACGAUAAAGGGGUCAUUCUGGUGGCCAUUUUUAAGGAUAUUAGCGUGGAUUGGAGGAAUUUCUUUGAAAGUUCUGCAUUUCCGUAACAAAGAUAUGCUACUAAUGUUCUUACUGGCAUUAUCCUGGGAAUCAUUAGAAAGGGUGUUUGAGUAUGGCGGGGCAGGGAAGGUUAGCGCGCUCGCUUGCAGCGUUAAACAACUCAUUACCCAAAGGAUGCAACUUCUCCUUUAUUCCCAAAUUUGAACCAUAAUAAGAGUAAUACUCGUGCUAUCUUGAGGAAAUGGGAAAGGGGACAAAUAAAUUAGAAGAUGAAAUUUUUGUUAAAGGUAUAGUUCGGAAAGCAUGAAUAACGUAAUGACCAAAUCAUCCUUCCGGCUGUAACUCGUAGAAAAGUUGCAACCAUAAAAAACAAGGGAAGGGUGCCGAUUUUACCAGUACUCGUCUCUCCAGAGAGUCCUGUAUCCAUCAAAUGGCAAUCGCUUUCGCUUUCCGUCGUCGCCCAAAACUUUUCUACCUCUUCAAGCAAAUUUCCAUUAUCUCCUCCUUCAUAUCCAUUGACUUCCACCCGUACUUACCUCCACAACUUAUACCUUCUGUUUCUAGCAAUAUGCAGCAGCAGCAUACCACCACUUGUACAAAUCUUCCUCAACCCAAAGCCGUCAGCAUGCUAUGCUAGUCAGUAAUUCAUUCUUGCAUUCACUUGUUAUGAUUAAUCACAUCACUCGUAUGGUCUUAUGCAUGGUUGUUUGCUGUGUUCUGAAAUCACAGAUUUUGUCAUGACAAUUUCCCUUUUUUUUUUCUUGGGUUAUUGGUCAAGGUUUUGAUUAGAUAGCUGGAAGGAUGGUGGAUACAAAGAGGCGGAGAUCAUUAAUGAUUUGCAGCUGCCUUACUUCAGCCUUUAUUCUUUCUGCAGUUCUUCUUGUUGGGAGCGCGUUGCUUCUCACAAAUUAUAAUCAUAAACAAGUCAGUUUUUGAUACUAUUAUUCGCUGUAUUUGUAUUUCAUGGUAUAUGAGAAUGAUUUUAUCAAGAAAGUCACCAAUUUUUGCGGCUUUCCGCUGAGCAGAGUCAUGUUGGAUUGCAAACUAUUGGUGUUGUCAAUACUACAACCUUUCAAACCCCCUGUGAGGUUUGUGAAGAAUUUUCCUCCUCAAUCUUCGCGCCUCUUAGGGAAAAAGGAACUAUUAUUUUUUGUUGCUUUUUCUUAAUUGGUUUUCUUGCGAAUGUGGAUGUACGGUAUAGAAUCAAUGCAUGCCUGAUGGAAGUGAGACAUUGCCUAGAGGUAUUGUUACUAGAACUUCUGAUUUGGAAAUGCGGCAGCUAUGGGGCCCUUCCAAAAAAAAGGUGGGGAUUUCCCUUGCGUAUUGAAUAGCUUGCUUUUCUUUACCGCUCCAAAUCAUACUUGUAGAAUUCGGUUUUUAUCUGUGUUUAGGUUACUUCGCUUUGCUUUAUCUGACCCUGCAAUGCUCUUUAUCCCUCUCUAGAAUUCAAAGUCACCAAUGAACUUGCUGGCCAUUGCAGUUGGACUAAAGCAGAAAGGAAAUGUAGAUCAAAUUGUUAAGAAGGUGAGGCUAAAUCUUCUUGGUUAAAGUAAAUCAAGUUUUAGUUUGUGUCUUACCAUCAACUAUAUCUGAUUUGCAGUUUCCCCCAGCUCAAUUUGUCGUUAUGCUUUUCCAUUAUGACGGCAAAGUGGAUGGUUGGAAAGACUUAGAAUGGAGUAGUAGUGCCAUCCAUGUUUCUGCUAUUAACCAAACUAAAUGGUACUAUUAGUUAUCACUUAUAUGUAACUAACCCUGCUAGUUUUGCCUCAUGUAAGAUACACAGAUUGUUGGUUUUAAGCAACAAGGUGUUUUUACUCUGUCUCCAUUCCUCAGGUGGUUUGCGAAGCGUUUCCUUCAUCCAGAUGUUGUUUCUGAGUAUGCAUAUAUCUUUCUGUGGGAUGAAGAUAUUGGAGUUGAAAAUUUUCGUGUUGGAAGGUAAUCUUAUUUUCAACUCUAUAAAUAGUAAAGCACACAAACAUAUCCAGUAAUCGAUAGGCCUGAAGAUGAUAUGUAUGACUUGCUUCGUAAGUUUGAUACUAUAGCUUUUGGCAAAUUUAAAUCAUACCACUAGAUUCUGACUGAACUUUAUUGAUAUAUUGUUACCAAAGAGUACCUGAGGAACAAAGCAAAUAUCUGAUAAGUAUUUGGACUUGUUAGAAUGGUGACAACAAUCUAUGAUUAAUAUUUGUAACUGAUAGUCAUUACUUCUAACGUGAUGCAGAUAUCUAUCAAUAAUUAAAGAAGAAGGGCUUCAAAUAUCACAACCAGCAAUUGAUCCUGAUAAGUCGGAGGUCCAUCACAAAAUCACAUCCAGGGAAAAGAGAUUAAAAGUGCAUCGGUACUACAUUUCAGUACUAAAAAGUUAUUAGAUUGGAAUUUAGUGGCAUACUGGCAUGUAUCUUGUCUAUGCUUGGAUUAUAUGUAUCUUUCCUGUCUUCAAUCAACAUAUGCUCACUGGUUUUAUUCUGUGAGCAGAAGGGCUGUUAACUUAAGAGGGACUGGGAGAAGGUGUUACGAAAAUAGCACAGAGCCUCCCUGCACUGGGUAUGGUAUAGUGCAUCAGAGAUAUUCUGCAGUAUUAUUUAUCAUUGAAAAAUUUUCAGAUAUUGAAACAGGUUCCUAUACAUCCAUUAGUUAUAAAAGAGGAAAUAUGAACACUUCUUAUACAUUGGCAGGUGGGUGGAAAUGAUGGCUCCUGUUUUUUCACGUGCAUCCUGGCGUUGUGCGUGGUACAUGAUUCAGGUAUGGCAUUUGUAGAUAUAUCAAGUCAUCCAGAAAUCAGUGUGUGGCAGCAUAACCAUUGAAUUUUGUUGAUUAUGCCAUCUAGAUUAGUUUUGAAUUAUUAUUAGCAGAAUUACUCUUGCAUGUUCAUGAUCGUGUUAUGCCAUAGAAAUACGACCUUUUCUUACUGUUGUUUUCAACAGAACGACUUAAUUCAUGCAUGGGGGUUGGAUUUCCAGCUUGGUUACUGUGCACAGGUUUGUCACUGUAUAACAGAUAACUUCCUCUUCUUUUCCUCUUUUUUUCCUCUGGUCUCCCAUAUUAUUGUCUCACACUCAUUGAUAUCUCAAACUUGCUAGCUAUUCCUUUGGUAGGGAAACCGAACUGCAAACAUUGGGAUUGUUGACUCAGAGUACGUUGUCCACUAUGGUCUUCCUACCCUAGGGGGUUCAGCAGUAAAUAAGGUACAAUAUAGCUGGUCAUUUGUAUUUUUUUAGUUCUUUGAAAAGAUUUUUAAUCUUAAAUCUGUGCUUAUUAGUGCCUACAUUUUGCACAUGAAUGCAACUCUUUUAGUCUCAAAGUAAAAGAAUGAUAAAACCAAACCUGUCAUCACAAGGUAAUAAUUAAAAAUCCAAGGCAUGUAAACCAUACAGCAGUGCAACUUAGCCAUUCAUGGCAAAGCAUCUAUCUUUGGAUAUUGAAUAUGUAUAAAAUGGAAAAGGUUCAAAGUUUGAUCUCAUACUAUGGAAUUUAGACAUUCUUUAAUUAAUUGAACAUUGCCACUGUGCUUUGCAAGAAAAUGGACCAGCAUUUUUCUGUUUGAUAUUAUGAAAUAUUAUUUGUUUGCAAGAUUUGAAUAAAGUGGAAGUAUGGGAGAACGGAUUUGUGGUGGGAACAAACUCUGUAGGAACUGUAAUAUCAUUACCUGCAGGUCUCUCUUGUCUUGAGAAAAUUGAGUUGUUCUUGAACAUUUGCAGACAAGUGAAGUACAGGGCCAAGCUUCGAAACAUGGUACCUCACCUGACAAAGGAUCCAUGGUAUGUUUGUGGACAUUUAUGAAAGGGCCAGUGGUACCUUUCUUAAACUUUCAUACAUCCUAAAUGUACUGCAAAUAUUUCAGGUUCCGUCUACAUCUCAUCCUUCUGAUGAUAGAGAUGCAGUAAGUAUCUUUUAACAUCUUUCUAGAAGAAGCUCUGCUAGUUCCUCACCUUGUGCUGCCCCUAAAUUGCGGUCAUAAUUUUUUGGCUGUGAGCUAUAUUCGUAUCUAUUGUACACAAACGUCCAUUUAUCCAACUUUUGCAGGUUCGAAAGCGAUCUUACGCCGAGUUAGAAAUUUUCAAGAACAGAUGGAAAAAGGCAGUGAGAGAAGACAAAUGCUGGAGUAAUCCGUUUCAGUAGCCUGCAAAGCAGAGCAGGGGACUUCGUCUAAUGGAUGCUGAUAGUUCAAGGGAAAUAUACACAUGGAAAAUUAACACUAUAAGCUUGUACCUAAAUUAUAUGUAUUGAUUAUAACAUCACUGAUGACAGGAAAAUUAUUUAUUCGUUAUAGCAUCACUAAUAAAACGCAAAGAACGAAUAGGAAAAUCAGACACGGGGUUUUUGUUGGAUCUUGACAUCCACGGCUUGAAGUGUAUACGGGGUUUUUCUGCACUCUUUGAAGCAGACAGACAGGGAUAAUAAUUUUCUCAAAUUAAUUCUUCAUCAAGUUACAUAUCUACAUUUAUGGUUCCAGAUACAGGAGUCAGAUCACUUUAUGGAGUUCCCGGAAGAUUAAACAACGCAGCUUCAGAAAUCCUGCAAAAUAAGACUUUACCGGCCAACAACUUGAGCAAUAAGUUGCGCCACCUCUUCCCCGCUAUCCUCCUGUACAUGGUGCCCUGCCUGCAAAGGCAAUGGAGUAACUGCAUUUUUUAGUCUUCCGGUCCGGAGUGAGACAGAACAUGGAGAUCAUAACUAAACAUGCUCAUGUUUAAAAAGACCAUUUACUUUCUUCUGAACUGCUCUAAUUGGCCAAGCAGUAUUGCAAUUUUGGGCGUAAUGUUGCUAGUCCACUGCAUGAAAUUACCAUUGGAAGUCUUAUAAGUCGGUGCUUCGAUUCUAUGCAGAAUUCCUCGACUCCGUUGUAGCUUAGCCAGCGGUCUCGUUCGCCCCAAAUGAUUGUUGUGUUAACUUGCCAGUUUUCGUCCAUUAGUAUCCUUCUCAUCUCUUCAAUGUAGGGCUAGGACGCACAAAGGAAAAUAAAUAAAACUUUUGGAACACAAAAUUCGAUCAAAAUAGUCAUUGCAUCACAAAUCUAAUUGUUUUUCCCGAGGAGCUGAAAUCAAUGCAAGAAACAUGAAGCCUUCGAAACAGAAAAAUGUUUUUCCAGUUAGCGCUCAAAAUAAACAAUGACAGAUGACCUAGAUCAAGAACUAGAGAAUAUGAAAAGGUCUAAUUUAUUCUCAAGGCGCUUAAUUUAGAUGUCCCUUGCUUUUAAGUAUUGUGAAAUAGAGAUCUCUUUAUUUAUGCAUUCCAAGAAGUGGAUAAACUGUUACAUGCAUUAAGAAGUAGCAAACCCAACAAAUUUCCAUAUACUAAGAGCUGCUGGCCAUUUCCAUAUUUUAAUUUGUGAGAAAAAAGAGUGCACCUUAAGUUCUUUCUUCAUGGCCCUGCUAAUUGCAUUUAGUGCAAAUCCUGCAGAACCAGACGUGAGGUAAGGUCUCCUAUAAACCAUUGCGACGUCUUCUUUUAUUACGUAUGGGCCACAGCUUGUCAGGGCCUUAUCACUGGCUCUUAGAGGAUCCUGUUGACAGAGAAGUUGCAGUCACUGAAGUGAAACCAAGAAGCUGAUGUUUGCAUAGACUGUAACAUGGGCUCGGCUGGAAUGAUAACAGUCUCACUAACUUUUGUGGUAUCCAUACCUGAGAAAAAAUUUCCCCCAACAGAAAGUUGCUGAAUAUGGAUAAUGUGGACGGGAGAUUGGCAUGCUUGGCUGUGAGCUUUAGAAAGCAGAAACAAGAAUUCAUGAGAGACCUGCUAAGAUCCAUGAACUAAUAAUGAUGAUUGGUCUAUGGACAUCCUACUGUACAUAGAGAUACACGGACAGAGAUGCAUAAUUGCAGAUUCUCUUUGUGUUCUUAGGACACAAUGACAGAAGGAAACAUUAGAAAUCAACAGUAGAUUGGCAAAUAUUUCCAUACUGGAGGGUUGAGAAGUAUGAGAUCAGUAAUCUUUUCUUGACGACUGCUAGCAUAUUUGACCACAACAGGCGAAAAGUAGCCCUACAAAGGAAGUCCAUAAACCAAAAUUUCAAACCAAAUGCACAGAAUUUGAUAUAGAAUUUCUGCUGAGCAUUGGUCAUACAAAUUCUUCAAAAGUUAAGUACCUGGACAACUAGUGUGGCUUUACCCUUGGUGGUUUCAUCUAUAAUAGAUUCCAAGGAUGUCGUAUAUUCUGCAACCAUACAAGGCAUACAAUAGUUUGAGCAGACAGAAUCCAUCUUCAAUGUUACCAAGUUCAAUUUCUUUGUAAGGACAAAAAUAAGUGAUUUUCUCCCUGGGUUCUGAAUGCAAGUACCAUCCAGAGUGUAGUCAAAACCAUAUCUAGGUUGGGGCUUAUCAGAAAAUCCAAAUCCUGCAAGUCCAAGGAGCAUAACAAUUUUGUCAAACUUUAGCUCAUAAUCAAGAUAUUCUGUAAUAACUUCAUUGGCUCAGCAAGCAAAAAAGCAUUGGAAUAGGCAAUGCAGUUGAUUCAACUAGGAUGCAGCAUUUAUCAUAGUGCUAAUAUAAAACCAAUUUGGGAAAAACAAUACAACUGCAGGAAGCUUAGAAGAAGACAAUAUUCAAAAUUCAAGAAAGUAAAUCCUCAACCUCUGUUUGUACUGAAAGCAAAGACGUGAAGCUUACCAAGCCAAUCAAAUGCAAUAGCAUGAUAUUUCUUUGAAAGUAUUGGAAGGACUUUGCGGUAGGAAUAUGCCUGUAUCAGAAAAAAGUGAGCAUGGACGUCAAGUUUACGUGAGGAUUUUAAUAUCAAUCUACUUGUUACAAGGAAGUAAUUGCAUCAGUUGAGAACUCUUUCCACCAAAAAACACAAGGAUUGACUGAAAAAGUUGAUUUCAGAGAAACUGGUAACUAUUCCUCCGACUAAUAUUUUCACACUUUAUAGCAAGAAAACUGCUACCUAUAAAGUAAGAUGAGGCAGUGGGUUAAGAAACAAAUUCAGGCCUGGAAUUUGCAUUUUCCUUCAGUCUCAUUCUUGGGGGCACUUAUAUAGGUUACAUAACAUUUGUAUGAUCUGUAGUACUUGUACAAGACAAGCAUUUGGAUGAUCUGUAGUUUUCUAGAGUGUACAGAAUGAGUGUAAUUGAACACUAACCUGUGAAGGAAAACCAUGAAUUAACACAAUGGGAUGAUUGUCAGCACUUCCGCUGUCAACGCAAAACCAUCUAUUGUACAAAAUCAUAUACAGAGAGAGCAUGUUUCAAUCGGUAAUCCCUGCAAACAAUCCAUCCAAUAAAACAAUAUUCUGCAUAAGAUCGAGAGCUAUUCCCGUUACAGUGCUUAGCCAUGUUGUUUUUGCCUCCUUACCACACACUUUUGUACAAACUAGAGACUUUUCGAAGUUACCUGAAAAGAUCAGAUGAGGUUUGUGAACCACCUCCCAUUGCAAGACCAAAGAUGGGAUCCUUGGCCUUGUCACCAGUACCCCCAACAGGAUGUGCUUUUACCUGUAUCAGCAACAAGCAUUACCAGGUUUUGAAAUUUGAAGGGGUACUAAAGAUUCUAACUCUAAACGUGAUGGCCGGGAUUAUUAUGCCAAUUUCCGACAGGAAGAAGAGAUUAGAAACAUGCUGACUUUAAAAGAGAGCAUACAAUCUUUCCUUGCUCGAACCAUUCAUCAGCUGGACUUGGCUCAUCCGAAUAUUUUCCUAUGCAGAAGAAAACAAUAGCCAAUUCCUACUAGAACCAUUAGUUUAGUUCAAUAUAGCUUUUUGAUUGAUAUUCACGAAAGAGGGGAUGCAUCCAGAGUCAAUUUUAGAUUUUACCUCCACUAAAAGAAAAGCCAUCUCCUACUGAAACAGGAGCAUCCAAGUAAUAAUCCUGAACGAGCAUUGACAAACAAACUAAAUGAAUAAAUAGGAACUCUUGAACCAUGCAUAAUAAAAUGCCAAAUGAAGCACGGGACAAAUGCUGUACUGUACGGCUGUACCUCGUUGCUCUCAUCAUUGCUUGACCGGCAAAAAAGUAGGGAAUGCUUCUGCUUCUUCUUCUUGAGGAUACCUUGGGGCAUUAUUGUUGGUUUGAGAAACUGGUCUGAAGGGGAUGCAAUGGGAGAAAGACGGAGCAGUUGCAGGCUGCAGAGAGAAAGCAGAGAAGAAGAAGAAGAGCAGAGCUGCAGAGCCAUGAAAAGAUGCAGGGAAAUUCCAGAAGUCCAAGCAAAGAAAUUACUAAAGAGUAGGGGAUUUGAUUAAUGAUAGGAAGCGAGUGCUUCAGAGUUCAGAGUUAAUAUUGGCGGCUGUGACAGUUAUAUCUUUCGGGCAAAGUUUUUGCCUGCUACAAGCUGUGCCAAAAAUCGGUAGUAUGACUGGAUAUGGUGAAGCCAACAGCCCAACCAAUCUCUUGGACUUUGAUCAUCAAGACACCUUUAAAGUUUCGGCCGAAGUUGAAGGUCAAGGUUUAGUUCUUGCCUCCCACCAGCCACUAGGUGUGGUUUUCCCUUCCUUUCCCUUAGAUUAGAUUAGGAGUGUGCAUCGAAAUCGAUAAUUCGAAAAUUUGAAUUCGGAAUUUUUCGAAAUUUUGAUAUCUGAUAAUUCGACUGAAUUUGAUUUCGAAUUUACCAAUUCCGAAUUCGAAUUCGUACCGAAUUCAAUUUGGAAUUAGGUAAAUUUCGAUUUCACCGAAUUCGGAAAAAAUUAUAUAUUAUUAUAUAAUAUAAAAUUAUAUUAUAUUAUAUUAUAUAAAUUUUAUAUAAUAUUAUAUAGUAUAAAUUUUAUAUUACAUGUAUAAAAAAUAUAUUUAUAUAUUAAAAACGAAUUUGAAAUCAAAAUCGGAAUUCGAAUUCCGAUUUCGAAUUGUGAAUUCGAAAUCGAAAAUUCCGAUUUGAAAAAACUCCAUUAUCGAAUUCGAACCAAAUUCGAAAUAUAUGAAUUCGGAAAACCCGAAUUCGAUUCCGAUUUUCAAUUUACCGAUUUCGAAAAUUCCGAAUUCAAUUCGAAUUCGAUUGAUAAAUUGGAAUUUUUCGAUUUUGCACACCCCUAGAUUAGACUAGAAUAAAUUAUAUAAACUAUUAUUUUUAUGAGCCAAAAAAAAAAAGACUGGAUAUGGUGAAGGUUCUUCUUCUUCCUUUUUUUUUUUUUUUUGUUAAUAGAUAGGAGAUUUCUGGUUCUCAAUUGUUUAGAAACAGCAACAUCAUAGUACUGGCGAAAGACCUAACGUAAUUGUUAAACAACAGGAGGGGUAGCAUUAUUUGGUUUAUUCGUUGAUCCUUGAUCCUUUAUCAAAUUGAAUUACAAUCAUUUGCCCUUUUGAUCCUUUAUCUCAUGCAAGGCCAGAAUCAAUUCAAAUUUAUCAUAAAAGAGUUCCAUGGUACAAUAAAAGGUUUAUGAGUCACAUCGUUUCUGUCUAAGGAAAAAACAACGAACAUUUCCUAUCGUUUGCCAAAUAUAAAUAUUUUUUUAGAAGAAAUUUGGAUGGAUUCAGUUUCGAUUAUCAUCACGGAUCAGAACAUAUCAAAUAUAAAAAUGAUAUGCGUUGAUAUUUCCCCUAACUGUUGUUGUCCGCUAGUAAGUUUUGCCCGUCCGUGUAACCUUUAGAGUAUCUCUUAAAUAUUUAAAAAAAAAAAUCUUUCGCGUGACUCUACUCAAUUUUGUGAAAGUUCAUACUACAAACUACAUAAAUUUACUUCCAUAGCAUUGUAAAACAAUAAUACCAACAAAGGACUCAACAUAAGUUGAUUAAUUCAGUAAGGUAAAUAAAUACCUUUAUGAGCAACAUAUAAUAAUAUUAUUAAGAGUAUAUCUCGAUCCAUGGUUGAUCUUCAACUAUGAAUCUUCAGAGUGUAUUUUCUUGUUGAUCUUGGCAUGUAGAUUAUACUCGAUGUAAAAGAUCAAGAACGGCAAAAUUCAUCAGGCAUCAUCAAUGUCAAUUGUACAAAUGAUUAAUCCCUUAAUAUAAAUAUACAACUUUCAUUUUCCAUCGAGGAAUCAAAAUAGUUACAACAUCAAAAAAAUUACUUAAUGUAGUAAGGAAGGUCAAGGACAUAGAGAAGGAAGUAAGCCCAGAUGACACCAGAGAUCCCACCAAAGAAGAACCCUCCACUGAACUUAGCCCAU